AGACGAGAUGAGUGCUAGUGUUAGGGGGUUUCCGCCCCUUAGUGCUGCAGCUAACGCAUUAAGCACUCCGCCUGGGGAGUACGGUCGCAAGACUGAAACUCAAAGGAAUUGACGGGGGCCCGCACAAGCGGUGGAGCAUGUGGUUUAAUUCGAAGCAACGCGAAGAACCUUACCAGGUCUUGACAUCCCGCCGACCGCCCAGGAGACUGGGCCUUCCCUUCGGGGACGGCGGUGACAGGUGGUGCAUGGUUGUCGUCAGCUCGUGUCGUGAGAUGUUGGGUUAAGUCCCGCAACGAGCGCAACCCUUGAUCUUAGUUGCCAGCAUUCAGUUGGGCACUCUAAGGUGACUGCCGGUGACAAACCGGAGGAAGGUGGGGAUGACGUCAAAUCAUCAUGCCCCUUAUGACCUGGGCUACACACGUGCUACAAUGGAUGGUACAAAGGGCUGCGAACCCGCGAGGGGGAGCCAAUCCCAUAAAACCAUUCUCAGUUCGGAUUGUAGGCUGCAACUCGCCUACAUGAAGCUGGAAUCGCUAGUAAUCGUGGAUCAGCAUGCCACGGUGAAUACGUUCCCGGGCCUUGUACACACCGCCCGUCACACCACGAGAGUUUGUAACACCCGAAGUCGGUGGGGUAACCUUUAUGGAGCCAGCCGCCGAAGGUGGGACAGAUGAUUGGGGUGAAGUCUAAAAGGGGGAAACCAAAAAAGU
rnacentral:rRNA from 1 species